rnacentral:rRNA from 1 species
CGUAGGGUGCGAGCGUUAAUCGGAAUUACUGGGCGUAAAGCGUGCGCAGGCGGUUCGUUAAGACAGAUGUGAAAUCCCCGGGCUCAACCUGGGAACUGCAUUUGUGACUGGCGGACUAGAGUUCGGUAGAGGGGGGUGGAAUUCCACGUGUAGCAGUGAAAUGCGUAGAGAUGUGGAGGAACACCAAUGGCGAAGGCAGCCCCCUGGGCCUGAACUGACGCUCAUGCACGAAAGCGUGGGAGCAAACAGGAUU